CAGCAGCCGCGGGAAUACGAAGGGUGCAAGCGUUACUCGGAAUUACUGGGCGUAAAGCGUGCGUAGGUGGCUCGUUAAGUCUGAUGUGAAAGCUCUGGGCUCAACCUGGGAAUUGCAUUGGAUACUGGCGAGCUAGAGUGCGGUAGAGGGUAGUGGAAUUCCCGGUGUAGCAGUGAAAUGCGUAGAGAUCGGGAGGAACAUCUGUGGCGAAGGCGACUGCCUGGGCCAGCACUGACACUGAGGCACGAAAGCGUGGGGAGCAAACAGGAUUAGAUACCCCUGUAGUCCCUGUCUCUUAUAC
rnacentral:rRNA from 1 species